rnacentral:rRNA from 1 species
AUUGAACGCUGGCGGCGUGCUUAACACAUGCAAGUCGAUCGGUAACGCGGGGGCAACCCUGGCGACGAGAGGCGGACGGGUGAGGAACGCUUGGGAAUCUGCCUAUCAGCGGGGGACAACACGGGGAAACUCGUGCUAAUACCGCAUACGCUCUACGGAGGAAAGCCGGGGACCGCAAGGCCUGGCACUGAUAGAUGAGCCCAAGCCGGAUUAGCUAGUUGGCGGGGUAACGGCCCACCAAGGCGACGAUCCGUAGCUGGUCUGAGAGGACGAUCAGCCACACUGGAACUGAGACAAGGUCCAGACUCCUACGGGAGGCAGCAGUGGGGAAUAUUGGACAAUGGGGGAAACCCUGAUUCAGCGACGCCGCGUGGGUGAAGAAGGCCUGCGGGUUGUAAAGCCCUUUCGGUAGGGACGAAAGCUCUCGACCUAACACGUCGGGAGGUUGACUUAACCUACAGAAGAAGCACCGGCUAACUCUGUGCCAGCCGCCGCGGUAAGAC